AUUGAACGCUGGCGGCAGGCCUAACACAUGCAAGUCGAGCGGAUGAAGGGAGCUUGCUCCUGGAUUCAGCGGCGGACGGGUGAGUAAUGCCUAGGAAUCUGCCUGGUAGUGGGGGAUAACGUCCUGAAACGGGCGCUAAUACCGCAUACGUCCUGAGGGAGAAAGUGGGGGAUCUUCGGACCUCACGCUAUCAGAUGAGCCUAGGUCGGAUUAGCUAGUUGGUGGGGUAAAGGCCUACCAAGGCGACGAUCCGUAACUGGUCUGAGAGGAUGAUCAGUCACACUGGAACUGAGACACGGUCCAGACUCCUACGGGAGGCAGCAGUGGGGAAUAUUGGACAAUGGGCGAAAGCCUGAUACAACCAUGCCGCGUGUGUGAAGAAGGUCUUCGGAUUGUAAAGCACUUUAAGUUGGGAGGAAGGGCAGUAAGUUAAUACCUUGCUGUUUUGACGUUACCAACAGAAUAAGCACCGGCUAACUUCGUG
rnacentral:rRNA from 1 species